rnacentral:rRNA from 1 species
UACGGAAGGCAGCAGUGGGGAAUAUUGCACAAUGGGCGCAAGCCUGAUGCAGCCAUGCCGCGUGUAUGAAGAAGGCCUUCGGGUUAUAAAGUACUUUCAGUCGUGAGGAAGGUGUUAAGGUUAAUAACCUUAGCAAUUGACGUUAGCGACAGAAGAAGCACCGGCUAACUCCGUGCCAGCAGCCGCGGUAAUACGGAGGGUGCGAGCGUUAAUCGGAAUUACUGGGCGUAAAGGGCACGCAGGCGGUUAAUUAAGUUGGAUGUGAAAUCCCCGGGCUUAACCUGGGAAUGGCAUUCAAGACUGGUUAGCUAGAGUCUUGUAGAGGGGGUAGAAUUCCAUGUGUAGCGGUGAAAUGCGUAGAGAUGUGGAGGAAUACCGGUGGCGAAGGCGGCCCCUGGGACAAAGACUGACGCUCAUGUGCGAAAGCGUGGGGAGCAAACAGGAUUAGAUACC